rnacentral:lncRNA from 1 species
GACCAGCAAGGCCAUGUGCUCCCUCUCCCCUACCUAAAACCCCAAAUAAAAACCCUUCCUUUCAGCUUUUCGGGGAGUUUGGGAUUUCAGCGUUAACUUCCCUCUCUCCUUCCUCAGCGCUGUGCAAAAAUAACAUUCCUACCUUCUUCCACCACACCUGGUGUCAGAGAUUGGCUUGCUGUGCAACUGGAAGAUUAGCCCUGAGCUAACUACUGCCAGUCCUCCUCUUUUUGCUGAGGAAGACCGGCCCUGAGCUAACAUCUGUGCCCAUCUUCCUCCUCUUUAUAUGUGGGAUGCCUACCACAGCAUGGCAUGCCAAGCGGUGCCAUGUCUGCACCAGGGAUCCAAACCGGCAAACCCCAGGCCACUGAGAAGUGAAUGUGCGAACUUAACCACUGCACCACCGGGCCAGCCCCUGGAGUUAAGAAAACCUUUUUCUCUAUUCUCUUAAAGAACUAUGACUUACAGCAAUUUAUAAACAAAAUUGAAACAUUCGUCUUUUCUUCACUACCUGAGCCCUCCAAAACGUAAAAACCCCUGAUGAGACACAAUUGGAAACACUGCUUAUAUUACCAAGGCUUUGACUGGAACAUCAUAUUUAAAAAAACAUACGGGCUUGGAUAUAACAAGACAGCUUUUGAGGAACGAAGGUUGACAUUCUGGAAUAAAGCCACUUGGAAAUAUUGGGCUGGUACUGUGCUUAUGGGUUCUGUAGCCUGAAAAACUUCUUAUUAAACACCUGGUUACUUACCUACAUGACACAGGCCUAACUUCAGGAGCCCACCAGCAUCACUGCCUUAUUAAAAGACUAGUUCAAUGAGAUGAAACAACCUAUGCCCCAUUUCAACAGGAAGUAGCUAUAUCAGUCACUGUCCCAAAUCCCUCAAGAUUGAGGCAUGGACAUAAAAUAGGGGAGAGUUGAUAUCAACCCUGAUAUCAGUUUCCCCACGUUAAACCCAGCAUAUAUGGGGUUAAAAACAAAACACUCAUUCCUAUCUUACUCUCUGGUUUCCUGGCUCCAGAAUCCACUAUCCUCCAUGGAGACAGACACCACCAAGGAGAGGCACCUGGAUUAUCUCCUCCCCACAAAGAGAUACAGGCUGGUGGGAAAGUUGCUGACCAUCAAGGUCAUGGGCUCCCUCCUCUCUGCAAGUGGUCUCAAGGCCAAAGACAGGCUAGGUGGGAAAGCUCUGACCAGCAAGGCCUUAUGCUCUCUCUUCCCUACCUAAAACCCCAAAUAAAAACCCUUCCUUUUAGCUUUUUGGGGAGUUUGGGAUUUCAGCAUUAGCUGCCCUCUCUCCUUGCUCAGUGCUGUGCAAAAAUAAAAUUUCUACUUUCUUCCACCACA